UAUACUCUGUUCCACUAGAGAAGGAACUCGCCUCGCAAUACUACUAACAGCAUUUUACAACCUAACUCACUAUUUCCUUCACUCAAACACAGGAGACAGCGUGUGUAGCACUACAAAUACAAAUUAUGUAUGAUUAAGUUAUUCAUCACUGUCUGUUUCGCCAACAUAUUUUUCCAAUCACCAAUACAGCCAUGACACAUACUAAACAAUUGUCAUGAAUAACUGUAGCAAAGGAAACCAACGGGUAUGAAGAAAAAUUGUCAAUGUCCAACAUGACAUUAGUCAACAUCUGGUAUUUCAAGACACCAACUGAUAAACAGCUAUUCCCUGUCCAAUUUGCGGUGAAACACGAUUUCUGGUUCACCUGAGAAGUAGAUCGUUAUGAAUAUGUAGCCACGAAAGCAGUGGUGGUAUUUUGGUGUUGUGUGGUUGAGAGGGCAUGAAGGUAAUUUUUCUAUGGUAGUAUAAUUUUGCACCACAGACAACCGUCAGAAAUAAUAUUAUAUUUUAUAGGUAACUCAAUUAAUAUUAUA